rnacentral:rRNA from 1 species
AGUUGCUAACGCGUGAAGGCGAGCACUCUAGACGAACUGCCGUUGACAAAACGGAGGAAGGUGGGAUGACGUCAAAUCAUCAUGCCCUUAUGUUCUGGGCUACACACGUGCUACAAUGGCCGGUACAGACGGACGCAAAGCCGCGAGGUGGAGCAAAUCCUAAAAAGACCGGUCUCAGUUCGGAUUGCAGGCUGCAAUUCGCCUGCAUGAAGUCGGAAUCGCUAGUAAUCGCAGGUCAGCAUACUGCGGUGAAUACGUUCCCGGGCCUU